rnacentral:rRNA from 1 species
UUUAAUGUUGAAAUUGUUUAAUGUUGAAUAAAUUAGGAAUUUUGUUUAAAAAGAAUUGAUUUUAAAUUUUAAACUAUAAAGAAUAGUACUGUGAAGGAUUUUUUAAAAUUUUGAAAAUAAAAUUUUCAAAAAGUAAAUUAUUAAUUGUACCUUUUGUAUUAGGGUUUAAUAAAAAAAAUUAUUGUUAUAUUUUUCCCGAAAUAAUUUGAGCUACUAAUUUAGGGGAUUUAAAGGUUUAAAUUUAAAAUUAAUUUUUUAGUAGAAAUGAAAUUUUAUUCGAAAUUUGUGAUAUCUGGUUAAAAAGAAAAAGUUAUACACUUUUUUGUAAAGAGAAUUAAUUGAGAAGUUUUACAAUUUUUUUUUUUAGGGAUAAGCUUAGAAAUGUUAUAUAAAUUAUAUAGAAUUUUUUAAAAAGUUUAAAAUUUACUAAAAUUUUGUAAUAAAAAAAUUUUAUUAACUUUAAUUUUAUUAAAAAGAUUGUUUUUAUUAAUGUUUUUGAAAAGGAAUAAUGUUAAAAUUAGUAUAAAGAUUUUUAAAGUUUUUUAAAGUUUUUAAAUUAAAUUUAAAAUUGAAAGGGUUUUUAGUAAAUUAUGAAUUCGGCAAAAAAAAUUUCUGAAUGUUUAUCAAAAACAUUGCACUUUGAAAUUAUGAAGUGUAAAGUCUGCUCAAUGUAAAAUAAAUUGCUGUGGUAUUAUGACUAUACGAAGGUAUUGAAAUAAGGUUUUAAUUGAGCGCUAAGAGAAUGGCUUAACAGGGAUUGACUUUAUUGUUUAUUAAUUUAAAAGUUAAUUUAAAAAUGAAAAAGUUUUUAUAAAAUUUUGGGACAAGAAGACCCUAUGAAUUUUUUAAAAAUUUACUUUUUAAAAAUUUUUUAAGAAAAGAAAAUGUAAAUUUUGUUAAUUGGGGCGAUUUUUAAAGAAUGUUUAUCUUUAAAAUUAUUUUAAAAAUGAUCCAGUAAUAUUGAUUAUUUAAAAUAAAUACUCUAGGGAUAACAGCGUAAUUAUUUUGGAUAGUUCAUAUAGAUAAAAUAGUUUGCGACCUCGAUGUUGGAUUAGGAUUCUAAAAAAAUGUAGAAGUUUUUUUUAGAAGUUUGCUCAACUUUUUAAUUCCUACAUGAUCUGAGUUCAGACCGGCGUGAGCCAGGUUGGUUUCUAUCUAGAUUUUGUUAAUUAGAUUAUAGUACGAAAGGAAUUAAUUUGAAAAAUUAUUUUUAAAAUUAUUUAUUGUUAAAUUAUAAUAA